ensembl:lncRNA
CAGGAAACAAUAAUGUAAUUGAUUAGAGAGAGUCAUGAAUAUAUAAUAACUUUCUUGUUUAUUUGUUGUCUUUUCUUUGAGAAUUGUUAACGAGGGAAAAGCACCCUUCAAUUUCCCCUCCGACAGCCUCCCAGGCACAGAGGCCUUAUUCCCUUUACUUCACAUAGGGAAUGAUUCUUUGGAAAUAUUUCCAGACAGCAAUUCCUAAAUAGAGACAAGAUAGAUUUUUCUACUUUUGUAGAAAUUUACUUUUGUCAGCUGCAGUCGUUCUAGGCUGUGAUCAAGUCUGGAGAGUCGUUUAUUGAGGAGGAUCUUAUGCAAGCAACCAGUGUGUCGUCCCUGGGGAAGAGGCUGAAGAUCUGUUGGAGCAGCUGACGGUAGAAACGGAUGUCUGUCUUCUGGAUUUGGGUGAUAUUUCCUCGUUUCCUAGAAAACUUGAAGUGGGUUCUGUCAUUAGGCAUGAUUGAGAGGGGAUACUUUUCAGCUGUGUAAAUAGCACAGAGGUUUCCUCCUGCCUUUCUUCUUUUCUAGCCAUGGUUCCAAGGCUUGUCCCUCCCAAGUGAGCAGGCAGCGCUGGAGAUGAGAACGAUCACUCCCGCCAUUACCAGGGAGGUGUAGGCCACUGUUAUUUCAGAGCCUGCCGCGAGGUCGGCGCGGGUCCACUACGCAAAGAGCGCAAAGCUACCAGCGCUGCGCACCACGGCCGCAGCAAGGCGCCAGAAUGGCGUUUCCAGAUUCCCAGGAUUUGGGAACCGCGGGUUUGAGUUUCGAGUCGUCCGGCAGCCCCAGGGAAACGUCGUCGCGGCUUAUCGCGCCGACUUUGUGCAGCUUCGACCCGAGGAAAAAAAUCGCCUUUGCUGCUGAGGAGGCAGCUCCGCCGUGGUCUCCCUUGAGACAUCUUCCUCAGUGUUCAUUUCUCCAACUGUGUUUUCUCAUGUAUCACACAAGAAGCAUUGACAUUGAGUUCAUUGAAGAUAGAGAAAAUACAUGCAAGAAUAUUGAACACUCUCCUCAAACUCAGUACCUACUAUCUUCAAGAACGUGA